CUCACUUGUACAGACUCCUAAUUUAACCUGGAGUCUUAGAAUAGCCCUUUAUUUGUAGAAUAUAAUUUUAGGGAAACACAAUCUUCACAUUUUUGUCCCAGUCUAGUCCUGCUUAACACAGUAACAUUUCCCUAUUGUAAUGCAAGACGGUACAUUUCACAUGAUCUGCUAGAUUUCAGUUUGUUUUGCUUCGUUAAGAAUUCUUCAAAUUGAUAGCUAUGGGAGACUCCUGCAAUAUAUUGAGUG